rnacentral:misc_RNA from 1 species
UGAAAUUCAUCCCGCCUAACCGGGGUACCCCGGUUAGGCGGGAUGUUUUUUAUCCAUAUGAACAGGCGGGAUGUUUUUAAUCCAUAUGAAUAUCCAUAUUAACAACAACAGAACAGUUGGCAAAAUUUUGGCGGGGCAAGUUGGCCGUAUAUAUCAACUAAACCCGGUUGCGAUUGUACAUAAACUUCAACUUUUUCUAUAACUUUUGAUUUAUUUUUUUAAAAUUCGAUUAGAUAGAUAGAUCACAUAUAUAACAUGCGAAACUAUAAAAGAAAAACAAAGAGGGCUAUAACUCCUCAAAAUAUUAUAAAAAAUGCUGUUGAUGCUGUUUUAUUAGAAGGAAAAUCUAUACGAAAAACAGCCAAAGACUUUAAUAUCCCUGAUACUGCAAAAAGCAACAACGUCAUGGUCAGCAAAUAUCAGGUUACAUAAAAUCUAGACAGGUCUUUACUGAUUUACAAGAAGGUCUGUUAGAACAAUAUGUGACUAAAGCUUCUGAUAUUUAUUAUGGACUUUCUCCUAAGGAAGUGAGAAAACUAGCUUAUCAGUAUGGAAAAGCGAAUAGCAUAAAAAUGCCUCAUAAAUGGAGUGCAAAUGAAGCAGCUGGAGAAGACUGGUUCAGUGCUUACCUCAAAAGGCACAAAAAACUGUCAAUAAGAAAACCUGAGGCAACAAGUCAAGCACGUGUUUCCAGUUUUAAAUAACAAAUGUUCAAAAGUUUUACAACAGUUUACAAACUAUUCUUAAUCGUUUAAAGUUGGAAAGUGGAGAUAUUUGGAAUAUGGAUGAAACUAGUAUUACCACAGUUCAAACUCCAGAUCAUAUUGUAGCAAGAAAGGGUUUUAAACAAAUUGGGCGUGUUAUUUCGGCUGAGAGAGACAAUUUAGUAACUGUGGCAGUUGCUGUUUCUGCCAGUGGAAAUUCAAUUCCUCCAUUUUUCAUAUUUCCUCGUGUGAAAUUUAAAAGCUAUUUUUUAAAUGGUGCUCCUGAUGGAAGUGCAGGCAAACCCAUCUGGCUGGAUGACUGAAGUUCAAUUUUUGCAGUUUUCCCAUCAUUUUGUCAAAUAUGCCAGAAGUACAAAAGAACGACCUAUUUUGUUGCUAUUAGACAAUCAUAACUCUCAUCUUUCAGUAGAGGCUUUAGAUUACUUUAAAGAAAAUGGGGUAUCGGUUUGUUCAUUUCUUCCUCAUUGCAGUAGAGACUUUAGAUUACUUUAAAGAAAAUGGGGUAUCGGUUUGUUCAUUUCCUCCUCAUUGCAGCCAUAAACUUCAACCUUUAGAUGGAAGUGUAUUUAAACCUUUUAAAAAAUACACAAACACAGCUUGCGAUGCGUGGAUGACAAUGCACCCUGGUUCCACAAUGUCUAUUUACAGUAUACCAGGGUAAUUGUAUAGUAAUUGUAGGGUAUUGUGGGUAACUCAUUUCCAUUAGCAUGUACCCCUAAUAAUAUCAAGGCUGGUUUUGAAAAAACAGGAAUUUACCCACUAAAUGUUAAUAUUUGGUGAACACGAUUUUAUGCCAGCCUAUACCACAGAUAGACCACCUCCGAAACAAGACUGUGCUGUGGAAAGUACACCGCUAAAUAUAAGAAAUGUAACAGAUGUUGAAUUUACAAUAUCUGAGAAUGACAUGUUAAAUGCUGGUUGCUCAAAAGAUAUAGAACCACGUUAAGAUAUUUCAUAUUCAAACAGUAAUGAUGUACACAGUGCAUCUACAGAGUCAACUGUAGAUCUAUCGCCUGAAGAUUUAAGACCAUUCAAAAAAGCUGAACCAAGAAAAAGACUUAGGGCUAAUAAAAGAAGUAGAACCACAUCAAUUUUAACAGAUUCACCAAAUAUGAAUGUUUUAAAAAUAGAGAAAAAAUCAGCUAAAAAGAAAAAGUUAGCAAUUGAAGAGAGAAAACAAGCAAAAAAGUUAAAUGAAGAUAAUAUUAAGAUGAGUAAAAAAUCAAAUAGUAAAAGAAGUUUACACUUAAUGGAGAAAAGUUUGAAUUGUCCAAAUAGCUCUGUUGAAGAGGAGUGUUUUUGUUUGGUUUGUGUUGGAAUGUUUUCUAAAAGUAAACCAGAGGAAGUUUGGGUUCAAUGCACCCAAUGUCACCUUUGGGCUCACGAGUCAUGUAUAAUCGGAAAAUCUUUGUUUUUCAUUUGCAAUAAUUGCUGCUAGCCGAUUUGAAACUCCAUUAGUUAAAAAUAUUCAUGUAAUAAAACAAUAUAAGUUUUAAUUCUUAUUGUAUAACCAUAAAUUGCGAACACUGUUUUGUUUUGUCACUGUAUUUUUUAAUUAUAUUUACUUUCUAUUGCUUAAAAUGUUACAAUGACUUGA